rnacentral:rRNA from 1 species
UAGAAUGAACCGGCGAGUUACGAUUUGAUGCAAGGUUAAGCAGUAAAUGUGGAGCCGUAGCGAAAGCGAGUCUGAAUAGGGCGUUUAGUAUUUGGUCGUAGACCCGAAACCAGGUGAUCUACCCUUGGUCAGGUUGAAGUUCAGGUAACACUGAAUGGAGGACCGAACCGACUUACGUUGAAAAGUGAGCGGAUGAACUGAGGGUAGCGGAGAAAUUCCAAUCGAACCUGGAGAUAGCUGGUUCUCUCCGAAAUAGCUUUAGGGCUAGCCUCAAGUGAUGAUUAUUGGAGGUAGAGCACUGUUUGGACGAGGGGCCCCUCUCGGGUUACCGAAUUCAGACAAACUCCGAAUGCCAAUUAAUUUAACUUGGGAGUCAGAACAUGGGUGAUAAGGUCCGUGUUCGAAAGGGAAACAGCCCAGACCACCAGCUAAGGUCCCAAAAUAUAUGUUAAGUGGAAAAGGAUGUGGCGUUGCCCAGACAACUAGGAUGUUGGCUUAGAAGCAGCCAUCAUUUAAAGAGUGCGUAAUAGCUCACUAGUCGAGUGACACUGCGCCGAAAAUGUACCGGGGCUAAACAUAUUACCGAAGCUGUGGAUUGUCCUUUGGACAAUGGUAGGAGAGCGUUCUAAGGGCGUUGAAGCAUGAUCGUAAGGACAUGUGGAGCGCUUAGAAGUGAGAAUGCCGGUGUGAGUAGCGAAAGACGGGUGAGAAUCCCGUCCACCGAUUGACUAAGGUUUCCAGAGGAAGGCUCGUCCGCUCUGGGUUAGUCGGGUCCUAAGCUGAGGCCGACAGGCGUAGGCGAUGGAUAACAGGUUGAUAUUCCUGUACCACCUAUAAUCGUUUUAAUCGAUGGGGGGACGCAGUAGGAUAGGCGAAGCGUGCGAUUGGAUUGCACGUCUAAGCAGUAAGGCUGAGUAUUAGGCAAAUCCGGUACUCGUUAAGGCUGAGCUGUGAUGGGGAGAAGACAUUGAGUCUUCGAGUCGUUGAUUUCACACUGCCGAGAAAAGCCUCUAGAUAGAAAAUAGGUGCCCGUACCGCAAACCGACACAGGUAGUCAAGAUGAGAAUUCUAAGGUGAGCGAGCGAACUCUCGUUAAGGAACUCGGCAAAAUGACCCCGUAACUUCGGGAGAAGGGGUGCUCUUUAGGGUUAACGCCCAGAAGAGCCGCAGUGAAUAGGCCCAAGCGACUGUUUAUCAAAAACACAGGUCUCUGCUAAACCGUAAGGUGAUGUAUAGGGGCUGACGCCUGCCCGGUGCUGGAAGGUUAAGAGGAGUGGUUAGCUUCUGCGAAGCUACGAAUCGAAGCCCCAGUAAACGGCGGCCGUAACUAUAACGGUCCUAAGGUAGCGAAAUUCCUUGUCGGGUAAGUUCCGACCCGCACGAAAGGCGUAACGAUUUGGGCACUGUCUCAACGAGAGACUCGGUGAAAUCAUAGUACCUGUGAAGAUGCAGGUUACCCGCGACAGGACGGAAAGACCCCGUGGAGCUUUACUGUAGCCUGAUAUUGAAAUUCGGCACAGCUUGUACAGGAUAGGUAGGAGCCUUUGAAACGUGAGCGCUAGCUUACGUGGAGGCGCUGGUGGGAUACUACCCUAGCUGUGUUGGCUUUCUAACCCGCACCACUUAUCGUGGUGGGAGACAGUGUCAGGCGGGCAGUUUGACUGGGGCGGUCGCCUCCUAAAAGGUAACGGAGGCGCUCAAAGGUUCCCUCAGAAUGGUUGGAAAUCAUUCAUAGAGUGUAAAGGCAUAAGGGAGCUUGACUGCGAGACCUACAAGUCGAGCAGGGUCGAAAGACGGACUUAGUGAUCCGGUGGUUCCGCAUGGAAGGGCCAUCGCUCAACGGAUAAAAGCUACCCCGGGGAUAACAGGCUUAUCUCCCCCAAGAGUUCACAUCGACGGGGAGGUUUGGCACCUCGAUGUCGGCUCAUCGCAUCCUGGGGCUGUAGUCGGUCCCAAGGGUUGGGCUGUUCGCCCAUUAAAGCGGUACGCGAGCUGGGUUCAGAACGUCGUGAGACAGUUCGGUCCCUAUCCGUCGUGGGCGUAGGAAAUUUGAGAGGAGCUGUCCUUAGUACGAGAGGACCGGGAUGGACAUACCUCUGGUGUACCAGUUGUCGUGCCAACGGCAUAGCUGGGUAGCUAUGUGUGGACGGGAUAAGUGCUGAAAGCAUCUAAGCAUGAAGCCCCCCUCAAGAUGAGAUUUCCCAACUUCGGUUAUAAGAUCCCUCAAAGAUGAUGAGGUUAAUAGGUUCGAGGUGGAAGCAUGGUGACAUGUGGAGCUGACGAAUACUAAUCGAUCGAAGACUUAAUCAA